rnacentral:rRNA from 1 species
UUAGCGGCGGACGGGUGAGUAACACGUGGGUAACCUGCCUGUAAGACUGGGAUAACUCCGGGAAACCGGGGCUAAUACCGGAUGGUUGUUUGAACCGCAUGGUUCAAACAUAAAAGGUGGCUUCGGCUACCACUUACAGAUGGACCCGCGGCGCAUUAGCUAGUUGGUGAGGUAAUGGCUCACCAAGGCAACGAUGCGUAGCCGACCUGAGAGGGUGAUCGGCCACACUGGGACUGAGACACGGCCCAGACUCCUACGGGAGGCAGCAGUAGGGAAUCUUCCGCAAUGGACGAAAGUCUGACGGAGCAACGCCGCGUGAGUGAUGAAGGUUUUCGGAUCGUAAAGCUCUGUUGUUAGGGAAGAACAAGUACCGUUCGAAUAGGGCGGCACCUUGACGGUACCUAACCAGAAAGCCACGGCUAACUACGUGCCAGCAGCCGCGGUAAUACGUAGGUGGCAAGCGUUGUCCGGAAUUAUUGGGCGUAAAGGGCUCGCAGGCGGUUUCUUAAGUCUGAUGUGAAAGCCCCCGGCUCAACCGGGGAGGGUCAUUGGAAACUGGGGAACUUGAGUGCAGAAGAGGAGAGUGGAAUUCCACGUGUAGCGGUGAAAUGCGUAGAGAUGUGGAGGAACACCAGUGGCGAAGGCGACUCUCUGGUCUGUAACUGACGCUGAGGAGCGAAAGCGUGGGGAGCGAACAGGAUUAGAUACCCUGGUAGUCCACGCCGUAAACGAUGAGUGCUAAGUGUUAGGGGGGUUUCCGCCCCUUAGUGCUGCAGCUAACGCAUUUAAGCACUUCCGCCUGGGGAGUACGGUCGCAAAGACUGAAACUCAAAGGAAUUGAACGGGGGGCCCGCACAAGCGGUGGAGCUAUGUGGUUUUAAUUUCGAAAGCCAA